GGCGCUGCAACGCCACAGCAGUACAGGCUUCCUCCGCCAUCGGCAAUGGACGACAGCGACCUCGACUCCGCAGCGCUCUGGGCCGCCAUCGACUCCGCCGCUGCCAAGGCCUCCUCCCGCGUCCGCUGCGCCGCCAGCGACGACGACCACCGCGGCGAGGUGCUGCAGCCGGCCCGCCCGUUCAAAAACCCGCGGCUCGUCUCCGCCUCUCACGCCACACCGCCUCCCCCCGCACCGCUGCCUCUGCCCUCGCCAUCGCCCCGGCUUCAUGCGUCUCCCUACGCCACGCCCGACGCAGCGGCAGCCAGGAACAGGCUCCAGGUCGUUGAGAGCCCCCCGCCCCAUGAGCUCUGGGGGCUUCCCAUGGCGAGCCCCAUCGCCGCCGCCUAUGACGGGGGCUUGCUCCCCUCCCUCUCCGUGGCCAACUUCAAAAACUACCAGGACGUAGCUCUCUCGAUUUUGGAGAGAAGUGACUACACCACUAUCAGUGGGAACCCGUACAUAAAGAAGUCAGGGUGGAGAAAAAUAUCUUGCUUCUUCAAUGUCUCGUUUGAAAUCAAGGAUCACUCCAUUGAGUUUGAUGAAAACCGCAAUGUCAACCGUGCUGAAUUUCUUGUUCGAGCGUCAAUGACAGGUGGGAGAUUCUCAGACGGUUGGGGCUCCUGCGAUCGACGAGAGAAAAAAUUCAACAAACCUAACCAUGACAUUCCCAGCACAGCUGAAACCAGAGCUAAGAACAAGGCUUGCCAGGAUCUUCUUGGAAUUGGACGUCCAGGAUGAGAAGUGGAGGUCACUGGACCCCAAAGGUGGAGUCCAUGAGGUGUUUACCUUUAGAUCAGCUACUCAUCACCAGAUCCUGAAGUGGAGUCCACAAAUUUUGGUUAUAGUCAAGGUUGUCUGUGUGGCUGUUAGCUCAGUGCAAGAAUAUACUGAUAUGAAGUUAGUAGAAGGGCGCAAUGUUCUGCUCCUCUUUGUUAGUGAAAAGCCUAUCAGAUCGGGGGGAGGGGGGAUGUGUGCUCGGAUCACCUGUGGCACUGAACUUUUUUUGUUGUGGUGUGGACAUUGGCUGCCCCUCUAAAAUGGAAGUUUGUUUGCGCAUCGAGAUGCGUCAGCUGAUGAAAGAACCAAAUACAAGGAGCAGGAGCGAUCUUCCUUUUUCUCAGAUGGAAACUGCAAACGGGAAACAGUGUGGUGUAGGAAGAACUCGAACGAACUCAAGAACUCUAGCAAAUGUGAUAUGAGUGAAUUAUUAUCACAAAAUCAAGGCGUCUGGAAAUAUGUCCGGAGCAAUAGGCGAGCGAGCCAGCGGGACGCAAGGUACCAGCAAUACUCUCAGCAAUACGCUCGGUGAUCAUCUGUCAUCUGGGACAUGUAUGUAUAUGAGUUUUUUUUUUUAUUGAUCAAAGAAUUACUUUUUUUAAGAAAAUUAUCAAGUGAUUACUUUGUCGUCUGGACUGAUA